CGGAUGGAGCAGUCUGGUAGCUCGUCGGGCUCAUAACCCGAAGGUCGUUGGUUCAAAUCCAGCUCCCGCUACCA
rnacentral:tRNA from 1 species